rnacentral:rRNA from 1 species
GAUGAACGCUGGCGGCGUGCCUAAUACAUGCAAGUCGAGCGAACAGACGAGGAGCUUGCUCCUCUGACGUUAGCGGCGGACGGGUGAGUAACACGUGGAUAACCUACCUAUAAGACUGGGAUAACUUCGGGAAACCGGAGCUAAUACCGGAUAAUAUUUUGAACCGCAUGGUUCAAUAGUGAAAGACGGUUUUGCUGUCACUUAUAGAUGGAUCCGCGCUGCAUUAGCUAGUUGGUAAGGUAACGGCUUACCAAGGCAACGAUGCAUAGCCGACCUGAGAGGGUGAUCGGCCACACUGGAACUGAGACACGGUCCAGACUCCUACGGGAGGCAGCAGUAGGGAAUCUUCCGCAAUGGGCGAAAGCCUGACGGAGCAACGCCGCGUGAGUGAUGAAGGUCUUCGGAUCGUAAAACUCUGUUAUUAGGGAAGAACAAAUGUGUAAGUAACUAUGCACGUCUUGACGGUACCUAAUCAGAAAGCCACGGCUAACUACGUG